GCCUAAGCUGUGAAUUGCCUUGUUCUAUAUGUGUGGAUGUGCCCUCCUAGAAUGUGUGUUUCCCCUCUUUCAUCUCCCGAACCGGCCUGCGUACACUGUCUUCGAUCCCGGUGUCAGGGACCAUCCUACCUGAUCCCCAACUGAGCUAUAAUCACUCAUCCCUUCUUUCCUUAUCCUACAUACUCCCCAACGGGGCUAUAAUCACUCAUCCCUUCUUUCCUUAUCCUACCUACUCCCCAACGGGGCUAUAAUCACUAAUCCCUUCUUUCCUUAUCCUACAUACUCCCCAACAGGGCUAUAAUCACUCAUCCCUUCUUUCCUUAUCCUACCUACUCCCCAACGGAGCUAUAAUCCUUAUCCUACAUACUCCCCAACGGGGCUAUAAUCACUCAUCCCUUCUUUCCUUAUCCUACCUACUCCCCAACGGGGCUAUAAUCACUCAUCCCUUCUUUCCUUAUCCUACGGAUACUGACAAUGGGGCUAUAAUCACUCAUCCCUUCUUUCCUUAUCCUACAUACUCCCCAACGGGGCUAUAAUCACUCAUCCCUUCUUUCCUUAUCCUACUUACUCCCCAACGGGGCUAUAAUCACUCAUCCCUUCUUUCCUUAUCCUACCUACUCCCCAACGGAGCUAUCAUCCCUCAUCCCUUUCCCUUACCUGGGAGCACGAGGCUACGCUUGUGGCUGCCCAGGAGAGCGCUCUCUCCGGUGGAUACCUGCAUGGGGAUAUCCACCGGAGAGAGGGACACGCACCAG